UUGAACGCUUGGCGGCAUGCCUAACACAUGCAAGUCGAACGCACGCACGACGUGCAGCGAUGCACGUGGGUGGAGAGUGGCGGACCGGGUGAGUAACGCGUAGGGAUCUAGCCCUAGCUCGAGGGGGACAACCCGGGAAACCCGGGCUAAUACCGCAUGAUACCAUCGCAGGAGGCAAAGCAGGGCGAUGGCUGCUGGGAGAGGGGGUCACCGGCUGAUUAGCUAGCUUGGCUGUGGUAAACGGCGCCACCAGGGCGAUGAUCGGUUAGCCUGGCUCUGAGAGGGCGCCACGGACACACUGGGACUGAGACACGGUCCAAGACUCCUACGGGAGGCAGCAGUGGGGAAUUUGCGCAAUGGGGGAACCCUGACUCAAGCAACUGCCGCGUGUGAUGAUGAAGCCCUUUGGGGCGUAAACUCCUUUCGACCAAGACGAUUAAUGACGGUUACUGGUGGAAGAAGCACCGGCUAACUCUGUGCCAGCAGCCGCGGUAAUACAGAGGGUGGCGAGCGUUGUUCGGAAUUAUUGGGCGUAAAGGGCGCGUAGGCGGUGCGGUAAGUCACCUGUGAAAUCUCCCCGGCUUAACUGGGAGCCUGCAGGCGAAACUACCCGUGCUGGAGUGUGGGGGAGGUGCGUGGAAUUCCCGGUUGUAGCGGUGGAAUGCGUAGAUAUCGGGAGGAACACCUGUGGCGAAAGCGGCGCACUUGGACCAUAACUGACGCUGAGCGCGAAAGUCUAGGGGAGCAAACAGGAUUAGAUACCCUGGUAGUCCUAGCCCUAAACGAUGAUUGCUGGUGUAGCCAGGGUACCCAAUCCUGCUGUGCCGCAGCUAACGCGAUAAGCAAUCCGCCUGGGGAGUACGGGUCGCAAGGCUGAAACUCAAAGGAAUUGACGGGGGCCCGCACAAGCGGUGGAGCAUGUGGUUCAAUUCGACGCAACGCGAAGAAACCUUACCUGGGCUCGAAAUGCAGGAGACCGGGGUGGAAACAUCCCUUCCCCUUAAAAGGCUGCUGCAUAGGUUUGCCUGCAUGGCUGUCGUCAGCUCGUGUCGUGCGAUGUUGGGUACAGUCCCGCAACCGAGCGCAACCCCUUAUCCCUAGUUGCCAUUCGGGUCAAGCCGGGCACUCUAGCUGAAAACUGCAUCGGAUAACGAGGAGGAAGGUGGGGAUGACGUCAAGUCCUCAUGGCCUUUAUGUCCAGGCUACACACGUGCUACAAUGGUCGGUACAAACCGUCGCAAACCCGUCUGAGGGGGAGCUAAUCGGAAAAGCCGGCCUCAGUUUCGGAUUGGAGUCUGCAACUCGACUCCAUGAAGCUGGAAUCGCUAGUAAUCGCGGAUCAGAACGCCGCGGUGAAUACGUUCCCGGGCCUUGUACACACCGCCCGUCACAUCACGAAAGUGGGCGUACUAGAAGCAGGUGUGCUAACCGCAAGGAGGCAGCCUUCCAAGGUACAGCUCAUGAUUGGGGGU
rnacentral:rRNA from 1 species